AUAAUCUGGAGAGAAGUAUUUCAAAAAUACUCACCGAAGGGGAUGGUACGUAGAUUUAUGGAAAUCUAUAGCUACCGAAGCUCUCAGGUACCCUGACAGAUGGGGCAAC
rnacentral:ncRNA from 17 species